GGGGUAAGAAUUUCUGGGUCUGCAAGGCAGUCGUCUCCUCCACCUAUUCAAUUAUUUGCGCCCGCCUUUUUCAGACACUUUGCCUGUCCCUGUUAAAUCCGCAGACACCCAGCUAUAAAUCCAGGUCAGACUCGGCUUGCCCCCCCCCCUAUUUUUUGCAAAGACUUUCCAGGUCAGACAUAUCAGCGCGUUCACAAGACCAGAGUGGCGUGUACAGAUUUCUGGGGGAAGGCCGAACCUUCUUCAAAGAAAUCCUCGUCCCAGGCUAAGAGCCUCAGCAGAAUAGACGGACAGCCCCGCUCCGGGGUAAUGGCCUCUAGAAAGCCCCGCUUUGACCGCGCAGAGUCUGAGUGGUUGUGGGAAGCAAGGAGAAGGGCAGGGUGCCUGCUUGGCACGCAGAAAGUUCAGCCCCUGACGGUUGAAUCUCCAGGAUGGGCUGCGAGAGGCUUUUCCUGCCUGAAGCCCGAAGAGAGCUGCCGCUGCCGCUCAGUGUAGACAAUAUCAAACUAGAUGGGCCAAGGAUCUCAACUGGGGAAGGGCCAUAGCUCAGAGUCCCUGCUUGGCACGCAGAAGGCCGCAGGUUCAGUCCUGGAUGGCAUCUGCAAGGAGGGUUGGGAGAGGCUUCCCUGCCUGAAACUCCGGGGAGCCGCUGCUGCCCGUCAGUGUAGGCGAUACUAAAGUAGAUGGACCCCUGCUUUGACUCAGUAUAACAAAGGAGCUUCCCGCGAUCCUAGAUCACUCGCGCAAGCUACGCGCUUCUAGAGGAGAGGCACCCAUGCCCAGUCUCCGAAGGCGUCUCUGGGUACAGCUGGGAACGCCCUCGCCAAACCCUGGAGAACUGCUGCUGCCGGUCCGUGCCGGCGCUGACAAUGCUGAGCAGGCGGGAGUCAAUCUAAAGCUGCUCCCGACGUCCCUCCGGCAUAGGAUGGAUGCGGGCGCUCGCUUCGGUUCCCGGCGCAAAGAUGAGCCGGGAUCCGCGGUGGGAGCCCGCCCCUUCCCAUCCUCCUUGCCCUCAAGGUACCCCCACC